rnacentral:rRNA from 1 species
GAUGAACGCUGGCGGCGUGCCUAAUACAUGCAAGUCGAGCGAACGGACGAGAAGCUUGCUUCUCUGAUGUUAGCGGCGGACGGGUGAGUAACACGUGGAUACCUACCUAUAAGACUGGGAUAACUUCGGGAAACCGGAGCUAAUACCGGAUAAUAUUUUGAACCGCAUGGUUCAAAAGUGAAAGACGGUCUUGCUGUCACUUAUAGAUGGAUCCGCGCUGCAUUAGCUAGUUGGUAAGGUAACGGCUUACCAAGGCAACGAUGCAUAGCCGACCUGAGAGGGUGAUCGGCCACACUGGAACUGAGACACGGUCCAGACUCCUACGGGAGGCAGCAGUAGGGAAUCGUCCGCAAUGGGCGAAAGCCUGACGGAGCAACGCCGCGUGAGUGAUGAAGGUCUUCGGAUCGUAAAACUCUGUUAUUAGGGAAGAACAUAUGUGUAAGUAACUGUGCACAUCUUGACGGUACCUAAUCAGAAAGCCACGGCUAACUACGU